rnacentral:rRNA from 1 species
AACGAACGCUGGCGGCAGGCUUAACACAUGCAAGUCGAGCGAAUGGAUUAAGAGCUUGCUCUUAUGAAGUUAGCGGCGGACGGGUGAGUAACACGUGGGUAACCUGCCCAUAAGACUGGGAUAACUCCGGGAAACCGGGGCUAAUACCGGAUAACAUUUUGAACCGCAUGGUUCGAAAUUGAAAGGCGGCUUCGGCUGUCACUUAUGGAUGGACCCGCGUCGCAUUAGCUAGCUGGUGAGGUAACGGCUCACCAAGGCAACGAUGCGUAGCCGACCUGAGAGGGUGAUCGGCCACACUGGGACUGAGACACGGCCCAGACUCCUACGGGAGGCAGCAGUAGGGAAUCUUCCGCAAUGGACGAAAGUCUGACGGAGCAACGCCGCGUGAGCGAUGAAGGCUUUCGGGUCGUAAAACUCUGUUGUUAGGGAAGAACAAGUGCUAGUUGAAUAAGCUGGCACCUUGACGGUACCUAACCAGAAAGCCACGGCUAACUACGUGCCAGCCGCCGCCGUAA